AUGAAUCAGAUCCCAUCUGCUAACUAGAACUCAACUCUGAGGAAAAUCAGAGCAAUUGCCUUUUUAUACUAUGCCUUGAGCUUGAAACUCUUCCUUCUAGUCUACCUACGUCAUUCUUUUGAAGUGAAGCAGAAAGCAGAUGGACACAAGUUCACUAAAACAGCAGUUAGGCCCUUUCCAUAUGCCCCUACUAUAGCACUCGAGGA
rnacentral:lncRNA from 1 species